rnacentral:rRNA from 1 species
GUGGAUUAGAUACCCUGGUAGUCCUAGCUGUAAACGAUGUGAACUUGGCGUCGGUGGUGUAAAAACCAUCGGUGCCGAAGCUAACGCGAUAAGUUCACCACCUGGGGACUACGGCCGCAAGGUUAAAACUCAAAGGAAUUGACGGGUCCCCGCACAAGCAGCGGAGCGUGUGGUUUAAUUCGAUGUUACACGAAGAACCUUACCCAGGUUUGACAUGCAGGUAGUAGGGAAGCGAAAGCAGACCGACCCGCAAGGGAGCCUGCACAGGUGUUGCAUGGUUGUCGACAGCU